CUGUUGCCUCGGGCCCCACCCCUGCUUUGGCCCCGGGCCCCCCGGUGGAAAUCUCCCAGACACCGCAUCUGUGAGUCCGAAUAUAAAUUAAAUCAAUUUAAAACUUUCAACAACGGAUCUCUUGGUUCUGGCAUCAAUGCAGAACACAGCGAUAAUGUGAUAAGUAAUGUGAAUUGCAAAAUUCAGUGAAUCAUCUAAUCUUUGAACCCACAUUGCGCCCCCUGUUAUUCCGGGGGGCAUGCCUGUUCGAGCUUCAUUACACCACUCAUGCCUGGCUUGGUAUUGGAGGCCGCGAGCGAUCGCGCCUCUCACAGUCGCCGGCUGAGCCGUCCGUCUCCAAGCGUUGUGCCAACUAUCCUCGAGCGAGACCCGGGCGACCCGGCCGUUAAACCCCCCAUCGGAGGUUGACCUCGGAUCAUGUAGAGAUACCCGCUGAACUUAAGCAUAU
rnacentral:rRNA from 2 species